GCCUUCUUAGCUCAGUGGUAGAGCGUUGCACUCGUAUACACCAUUGAAUAUGCAAAGGCCGCUAGUUCAAGUCUGGCAGGAGGCA
rnacentral:tRNA from 1 species